UACGAAGGGAGCUAGCGUUGUUCGGAAUUACUGGGCGUAAAGGGCGCGUAGGCGGGUUUCCAAGUCGGGGGUGAAAUUCCAGGGCUCAACCCUGGGACGGCCUUCGAUACUGGGAGCCUGGAGAUCGGGAGAGGUGAGUGGAAUUUCGAGUGUAGAGGUGAAAUUCGUAGAUAUUCGGAGGAACACCAGAAGCGAAGGCGGCUUUCUGGUCCGAUACUGACGCUGAGGUGCGAAAGCGUGGGGAGCGAUCCGG
rnacentral:rRNA from 1 species